AGAAGAGGAAAGUCGUAACAUGGUAAGCCUACCGGAAGGUGGUCUUGGAACAGAAUAUAGCUUAACCAAAGCAUUUUGCUUACACCAAAAAAAUAUCCAUCAGAUUAUUCUGAACUGAAAACUUAGCCUCUUAUCCUCUUUCUUUUUCUUUUUUCCCAAAAACAUUUCAAAUAUAUUAGUAUGAGUGACAGAAAAUCUAUUAGCGCAAUAAAUAAAGUACUGCAAAGGAAAAAUGAAAUAGAAAUUAAAUAAUCAUAAAAGUAUAAUAAAGCAAAGAUUAACACUUUUACCUUUUGCAUAAUGAUCUAGCAAGUUUUACCCGACAAAAUUAUCUACGUCUGGAGCCCCGAAACCAAACGAGCUACCUCAGAGUACAUACUAACUAUGAAUCCCUCUCUGUGGCAAAAGAGAGUGAUAAACCCUUAGGUAGAGGCGAAAACCCAAACGAGUUUGGAGAUAGCUGGUUACUUGGGAAAGAAUUAAGUUCAACUAAAAGCAAAAUUACCAACAAGGAUACAUAACGCUUUUAAUAUAAUAAAUUAGGGUACAGCCUAUUUUAUAAAGGGAACAGCCUACAAAUAUGAAUAAAGAUAUAAAUUUAUAGUUGAGUAGGCCUGAAAGCAGCCACCAAACAAAAGCGUCACAGCUUAACUAUAUAUUAAAAAUAUCCAAAUAAACCAUCUAAAUUCAAUAAAACAACCAAGUCAAUCUAUUUAUAGAUGAACUACUACUAGAAUAAGUAAUAAGGAACACCUCUUAAUACAUAUGUAAAUCAAAACGGACCCUCCACCGAUAUUUAACGAAAAUAUUUAUUUUAACAAGGAACCAAAUUCCACCCACCGUUAACCCAACACAGGUGUAUAAAAGAAAGACUUAAAGCUUAAGAAGGAACUCGGCAAACCCAGGCUUCGCCUGUUUACCAAAAACAUCGCCUUUCGCUAAAUAAACAUGAAAGGUCCUGCCUGCCCAGUGAUAUAUUUUUAACGGCCGCGGUAUUAUGACCGUGCAAAGGUAGCAUAAUCACUUGUCUUUUAAAUUGAGACCAGUAUGAACGGCAAAACAAAAGCCCAACUGUCUCCUUAAGCCAGUCAAUGAAAUUGAUCUUCUCGUGCAGAAGCGAGAAUAUAAAUAUAAGACGAGAAGACCCUAUGGAGCUUAAAAACAAGGCUAUAUAGGCACCCUACAAUAGCAUUAAAUUUAGGUUGGGGCGACCAUGAGGUAAAAUAUAACCCUCAAGACAACUAUUAGAAGGACACUUCAAGUAAAAAUAAAAUUUAUAUAUGACCCAAUAAUGAUCAACGAACCAAGUUACCCUAGGGAUAACAGCGCAAUCCAUUCCCAAAGCCCAUAUCGACGAAUGGGUUUACGACCUCGAUGUUGGAUCAGGACCCCCUAAUGGUGCAACAGCUAUUAAAGGUUCGUUGUCAACGAUAAA
rnacentral:rRNA from 1 species